CCCCGCGGCGGUCUGGCGCCCCGCACUCCCAUUCUCCUCGCCAGCUGCGAAAAUUUUAAACAUAGAGAAAGAACAGUAUAACAAAUCUUCAAGAACCCAUCACCCAGCCAGCAUAAACAAUUACCAGCAACCAAUAUUUAUUGCCAUAUGUUGGGUUUUCGGAAAAGAAACCUGAGAUUUUCAAAGGUUGGGUAAUUUGCCCAAGGUCACAAGGCUUGGAAGCACGGAGCAGGCCAGCUGGACUCCAAAAGCCAUGCCUUUGGCAUUUUUGGAUUUCUGCUAGGGAUGAAAUAAAGAGGAUUUACACACCAGUGGA